AAGAUGGAAUUCUCGUGAGGAAUAUCAUGGCUAGCGUUACGAAACUUCUAAGCUUGAAAGAUUCUGCCGACAAAGCGGAAUCAUCAUCAGAUAUGCACAGAUUGUUGAAAAUUGUACAACGCAUACCUGAAAGAGUCUUAUUCACGUCAGCAACCUUUAAAUCAGUGCAGCCUGCGUUUGCUGUGCUCGCGAUAAAAUUAGAAGAAUUCAACUCGGGGUACAUUCAAAUGACAGUUGGAACAGAGUCUUCACAUCAGUUGAAUGAAAGCAAGACGAACGUGCAAGGAAUAGAGGAGAACAAAGCGAGUGAUUUAAAUACAAUGUCAAUUUCGUUGGCAUCGAUGGAAGUGUUGUUUGGUAGCAGAGAAAAAGUUAUUG